rnacentral:ncRNA from 3 species
UAAAGUAUUUUACUUUUAUUAGAACC